rnacentral:rRNA from 1 species
AAGGUGCUGCAUGGUUGUCGUCAGCUCGUGCCGUGGAGGUGGUCGGGUUAACGUCCCAUAACGAGCGCCAACCCUAUCAUUAGUUGCCAUCAAGGUUAAGCGUGGGGACUACUAAAGGAACUGCCUACGCAAGUAGUGAGGAAGGCGGGGAUGACGUCAAAUCAGCACGGCCCUUACGUCCAGGGCUACACACGUGCUACAAUGGCCGAUACAGAGGGCAGCUACCUGGUGACAGGAUGCAAAUCUCCAAAGUCGGUCUCAGUUCGGAUCGGAGUCUGCAACCCGACUCCGUGAAGUUGGAUUCGCUAGUAAUCGCGCAUCAGCCAUGGCGCGGUGAAUACGUUCCCGGGCCUU